rnacentral:rRNA from 1 species
GCGUAAGCGCACGCAGGCGGUCUGUCAAGUCGGAUGUGAAAUCCCCGGGCUCAACCUGGGAACUGCAUUCGAAACUGGCAGGCUAGAGUCUUGUAGAGGGGGGUAGAAUUCCAGGUGUAGCGGUGAAAUGCGUAGAGAUCUGGAGGAAUACCGGUGGCGAAGGCGGCCCCCUGGACAAAGACUGACGCUCAGGUGCGAAAGCGUGGGGAGCAAACAGGAUUAGAUACCCUGGUAGUCCACGCCGUAAACGAUGUCGACUUGGAGGUUGUGCCCUUGAGGCGUGGCUUCCGGAGCUAACGCGUUAAGUCGACCGCCUGGGGAGUACGGCCGCAAGGUUAAAACUCAAAUGAAUUGACGGGGGCCCGCACAAGCGGUGGAGCAUGUGGUUUAAUUCGAUGCAACGCGAAGAACCUUACCUACUCUUGACAUCCAGAGAACUUAGCAGAGAUGCUUUGGUGCCUUCGGGAACUCUGAGACAGGUGCUGCAUGGCUGUCGUCAGCUCGUGUUGUGAAAUGUUGGGUUAAGUCCCGCAACGAGCGCAACCCUUAUCCUUUGUUGCCAGCGAUUAAGCCGGGAACUCAAAGGAGACUGCCAGUGAUAAACUGGAGGAAGGUGGGGAUGA